GAUGCCGUAGCGCAGAGGAGUCGCGCCGCCUUGCUAAGGUGGAAGACGCCGGUUCGAAUCCGGUCGGUGUCU
rnacentral:tRNA from 1 species